GUCUUCUACUCCGUCUUCGAUUUCCACCAUCAUCACCACCCACCACCAUUCGCAUUCAGGAAGUGUAGAAGUUUCCGUUUUUUCUCUUCGGCUUUAAGAGUUAAGUGUUCGUUUAUUUUUUGUUGUUUGUUUAUGGUUUUUUUUUUUCUUACACCAUUCCAAGUUGAGAGUGCAGAAAAGUGUCAUUGUAUAGUGAAGCCUAAAAUAUGAUAACCAAAAUUUGGAAAAUUUAAAGAAAUACCAAAAAAAUCAAUAUCCACAUCUGCUGAGGGUGCCUUAAUGUAAAUUUGUUGUAAAGAUUUGGGAAAGUCAUUUCGGAUUUGGCUUCGUGCGGAUAAAAAGAGAAAAAACAAUGUAUAUUGCGUGUGUGUGUGUGUAUGUGCUGUUGGCAAAUGUAAGCGAGAGUUCGGAGUAUGGAAUCUGAAAUUAUCGUAAACUACAACAACAACUUAUACAUAUAUUACUUGUUUAUAACUACAUGCUGUUGCAACAAACGACAAAAGCAGCCACCACAUCUCAGGCCAAACUAAAAGAAAGCCCGUUUUAGGCCAACAACAACAAUAAAUGCACCUUCGAAACGACAGCAGCAGUGUCGGUGGCUGUGUCCAUAAAUUGUUUGUUGUUGUCCAAUGCUUAUUCAGCUCAUUGCAAUAACAACAAAUCUCUCCCUGAGCUUAUUACAAAAAGUACAACACACGUCACGUCGUAAAUUGCAAUAAAAAUAAUAAUAACAAUAAUAAAAAAAUCAACAACAACAACUGCAUUCUUGCUUUGGCAAACUGUGACUACACAUAUACUGCAUAAGCGCGCCAUGGUUGUCGCCACCACCGCCCUCGUUGUCCGUCUGACCAAAUGGUGAAUGUUUUAAUUCGCAACGACGUUGUUUUCACGUUGGCGGUUCGCGUCAAUUACCAAUAAUUUACGUUGUAACAAAACAAAAAUAAAAUUCAAAUAGUUUCUUUGUAUGUGAAAAUGGAACAACAAAUUCAAGAUAUUAAUAAUUUAAAAAUAAAGGAAAAUUUUUGAAAAAUAGAAAUAAUAAAAAAUAACGAAAUAUAUGUCCAUCAAAAAUUUGGUGUUAUAAACAAAAAUUAAGUUUGUAUUUGCAAAGACUCUUCGCCAACUUCACAAGUAAAUUGGCAUAACUUGCCAAUAUAUAAAUCUAUACAGUAUAUGUGACGUUGAAUCUGCUUUGCCCAACAUAACUUUAUUAGUGCUACCUCAAAACUGAUUCAAGAAAAUUUAUUCACAACAAACUGAAGUAAAAACAUCCACAAUAGUAGUGAAGUGUUUUAUGAAAAAACGACUACAGCAAAGUGAAAAUACUAAUAUGUCGCCAAGAAAAAAUCAUAAUUUGUCUAAUAUUUUAACUAUAAACCAAGUGUAUUAAAUCUUCGUAACAGAUUAAAAUCGAGUUACACCGCCAAAAAUUAGAGAAAUUUAAAAAAGUGCUUAAUAUUCAUAAUUGAGAAUAAUGAGAGGAGAUUAGCUGUAAUAAAUCUAAUAAUGGAAUAAAUCAUUAUAAGGUGUAGCCAACUAAAGGAAAACUAUCAAUUAAUCAAAACUUCGUUGCCAAAACAAUGUAAAACAAAAACAAUAACAUACAAAACUUUAUUAAUGAUAAACGAUCAUAAUUAAACUAAGAUGCCUUAAAACAAUACUUCCUUGUUAUAAAACCAACAACAUAAAACCCCAAAAACAAACAAUUACCACAAAUCUAUAUUUUAUUACAAAACAAACAUUUGUUGAG
rnacentral:sRNA from 1 species